rnacentral:lncRNA from 1 species
UAUAGAUCCUCCAGGGCCUAGGACUGGUCACUCUUGCUUACAUUUUUAAGAGUUCACACAUUAAAAAAUAUUCUUCCUGAAAGAGCAAACUACUUAAAUCUCUUCCUACACUUACUACAUCUUACAUCAUUGGACCAAAAGUUGGAUGGAAACUUAAAGAUGAGUAAUUCCAGUCCUGACAGCUAUUUAAUGAUAUCUGUUUACUGACUAUAAAAAUAUUCUGUUGAGUAAAGACCAUGAGAAAUAUCAAGUGGAUGAGCCUGUUCAAAAAACAUAAAUGUUAGACUUCCAGUGAAUACCUAUGCUGUUAUAUAAAGAACCAGUCAUGUUUGUUCUGAGUUUUUCUUUCAUGUUAUUUUUGAAGUACUGUACUGCAAUAUUUUAAAGCAGCAUAAAAGUACAAUCCUUACUGUCCUUCUUCCUAGGCUAAUUAUACCACUGAUACAUCUCAGUAUUUCAGUUAUCACUUCUUCAGUGGCCAUGACAUACAGAUCUAUAUUCCAUUGGGCUUUGGGCUUUUAGACUCUUAAUAUUAAUUCUGAAUACUUUUGCUGGCACAAGAUGUCACCUAUGGCUUUCAAUGAUUGGACAAAGUAUUGUUUAAUUAGAAGCAAGUCAUUUCCAAGGAAAAGCUUUUGUAUACCAAUUUACACCUGAAAUUCACCAUCUCAAAUACUCCAGCUUGUUGCAGUUAGUACAGCAAUGAAAAGAAGAAUUUAUCUUAAAGAAGGCAAGGAAGCUGACAAUGCAUGGCAGUACACAGUAGUCAGAAAAAAAAAAAAAAAAAAAAAGAACACAAAUCACAGGAGAACUACAGUCAGUUACCAAAGUAUUUGCUGCACUGCAAAUUGAAGAGGAGAAAAGAGAAGAUGACAUGGCAAGAAAGAAAAAAGUUUCAACAAGACCACUAUAGGAACAGUAAAAGAGAAGAGGUAGAUAAGAAUUUGGACAGGUGUGCAUGCUGCCGUAAGCCUCUGUGCAGAGCAGGGCUGUACUACUGCAAUCACUAUUAUGAUGUGAAACAGAAGAAUGUGAAGUCUAUACAGAAUGAAGUCUACAGAUACGAAGUCUAUGGCAGAAAUGAAAUUUUUUUGUUGCCUUCAUGA